rnacentral:rRNA from 1 species
AGGGUUUGAUCAUGGCUCAGGAUGAACGCUAGCGGCAGGCCUAACACAUGCAAGUCGAGGGGCAGCAUAAUUAGUCGUAAGAUUAAUGGUGGCGACCGGCGCACGGGUGCGUAACGCGUAUGCAACCUACCUUUUACUGGGGUAUAGCCCGAAGAAAUUCGGAUUAAUCCCCCAUAGCACUGAGCAUUCGCAUGAAUAAUCAGUUAAAGUUUCGGCGGUAAAAGAUGGGCAUGCGUCCUAUUAGCUAGAUGGUAAGGUAACGGCUUACCAUGGCUACGAUAGGUAGGGGGCCUGAGAGGGUGGUCCCCCACACUGGUACUGAGACACGGACCAGACUCCUACGGGAGGCAGCAGUGAGGAAUAUUGGUCAAUGGGCGCAAGCCUGAACCAGCCCAUGCCGCGUGCAGGAAGAAUGUCCUAUGGAUUGUAAACUGCUUUUAUUUGGGAAUAAACCCCCCGACGUGUCGGGGUCUAAAGGUACCAAAUGAAUAAGCACCGGCUAACUCCGUGCCAGCAGCCGCAGUAAUACGGAGGGUGCAAGCGUUAUCUGGAAUCCUUGGGUUUAAAGGGUCC